UUGAUCAUGGCUCGGGACGAACGCUGGCGGCGUGCCUAACACAUGCAAGUCGAGCGGAGAUCGAGGAAGAGCUUGCUCAGAGACGAUCUUAGCGGCGGACGGGUGAGUGACGCGUGAGCAACCUGCCUUACACAGGGGGAUAACGCAGCGAAAGUUGUGCUAAUACCGCAUGAGACCACAACGGGACAUCCCGAAGGGGUCAAAGGAGAGAUCCGGUGUAAGAUGGGCUCGCGUCUGAUUAGCUAGUUGGUGAGGUAACGGCCCACCAAGGCGACGAUCAGUAGCCGACCUGAGAGGGUGAUCGGCCACAUUGGAACUGAGAGACGGUCCAAACUCCUACGGGAGGCAGCAGCGGGGAAUAUUGGGCAAUGGGGGGAACCCUGACCCAGCAACGCCGCGUGAAGGAAGAAGGCUUUCGGGUUGUAAACUUCUGUCCUGUGAGACGAAGGAAGUGACGGUAUCACAGGAGGAAGCCCCGGCUAACUACGUGCCAGCAGCCGCGGUAAUACGUAGGGGGCGAGCGUUGUCCGGAAUGAUUGGGCGUAAAGGGCGCGUAGGCGGCUAUAUAAGUCUGGAGUGAAAGUCCUGCUUUCAAGGUGGGAAUUGCUUUGGAUACUGUGUAGCUCGAGUGCAGGAGAGGUAAGCGGAAUUCCCGGUGUAGCGGUGAAAUGCGUAGAGAUCGGGAGGAACACCAGUGGCGAAGGCGGCUUACUGGACUGUAACUGACGCUGAGGCGCGAAAGCGUGGGGAGCAAACAGGAUUAGAUACCCUGGUAGUCCACGCGGUAAACGAUGAAUGCUAGGUGUAGGAGGUAUCGACCCCUUCUGUGCCGGAGUAAACACAAUAAGCAUUCCGCCUGGGGAGUACGGCCGCAAGGUUGCAACUCAAAUGAAUUGACGGA
rnacentral:rRNA from 1 species